GACGAACGCUGGCGGCGUGCUUAACACAUGCAAGUCGAACGACGUGGCGAACGGGUGAGUAACGCGUAAUCAACCUGCCCUUCAGAGGGGGACAACAGUUGGAAACGACUGCUAAUACCGCAUACUGACGGAGGGGAUUGCGUCUGAUUAGCUAGUUGGCGGGGUAAAGGCCUACCAAGGCGACGAGCCGUAAACGGUCUGAGAGGAUGAUCAGGCACACUGGAACUGAGACACGGUCCAGACUCCUACGGGAGGCAGCAGUGGGGAAUAUUGGACAAUGGGCGAAAGCCUGAUCCAGCCAUGCCGCGUGUGUGAAGAAGGUCUUCGGAUUGUAAAGCACUUUAAGUUGGGAGGCGUUACCAACAGAAUAAGCACCGGCUAACUUCGUGCCAGCAGCCGCGGUAAUAC
rnacentral:rRNA from 1 species